rnacentral:rRNA from 1 species
UACGUAGGGUGCGAGCGUUGUCCGGAAUUACUGGGCGUAAAGAGCUCGUAGGUGGUUUGUCGCGUUGUUCGUGAAAACUCACAGCUCAACUGUGGGCGUGCGGGCGAUACGGGCAGACUGGAGUACUGCAGGGGAGACUGGAAUUCCUGGUGUAGCGGUGGAAUGCGCAGAUAUCAGGAGGAACACCAGUGGCGAAGGCGGUGCUCUGGGCCGGUACUGACGCUGAGGAGCGAAAGCGUGGGGAGCAAACAGG